AGCCGCUCUGCCCACACUUUCAAGCGUCGCGCAGCGUGACGUCACGUCCGGCCCGGUGCGGUGAGGACGUCCAAGAUGGCGCUUCCCGCGGCGCUCCUGCGCGCGGCGGCGCUCCGCUGCCGAUUGCCUUUGGCCAACAUCGGGAGGCGCCACCUCGCGGCGGAGGCUUUCGUGCGGGAUCGGCCCCACGUGAACGUGGGAACCAUCGGUCACGUGGACCACGGGAAGACCACGCUGACCGCCGCCAUCACCA